CCUUGGUGCGCUGGCAAUUUUUGCGGCAAGCCUGACGAUUGUAACAGUAUUCGGAGUUUCGCUGCUCUGGAGUAACAUCAUAAUUGGACUGUGCGCGACAUGUUACACGGCACUGGGUGGACUCAGAGGUGUCGUCUGGACAGACUGCAUGCAGUUAGUCUUCAUCCUGCUGGGACCGGCAACUGUCAUAGCAAAGGUCAUCAUAGACUCGAGAAGUUCUGCAACGGCGAUACAACCA